rnacentral:tRNA from 1 species
GGCUCAGUGGUCCAAUGGUAAAGCGCUCGUCGCAGAACCAAAGAGUCCUGGGUUCGAUUUCCAACAGGGUCG